rnacentral:miRNA from 1 species
CCGACCGGAUUCUCAGACGGG